rnacentral:tRNA from 1 species
GUAAUAUUAGUAUAAACUUGUUAUUAUUUUUAAUUUUCGAUUAAAAGAUUAUAUAUUAUA